AAUGGACGAAAGUCUGACGGAGCACGCCGCGUGAGUGAUGAAGGUUUUCGGAUCGUAAAACUCUGUUGUUAGGGAAGAACAAGUACCGUUCGAAUAGGGCGGCACCUUGACGGUACCUAACCAGAAAGCCACGGCUAACUACGUGCCAGCAGCCGCGGUAAUAAA
rnacentral:rRNA from 1 species